rnacentral:rRNA from 1 species
ANUCGGGGUGCUCGAGUGGCGAACGGGUGAGUAACACGUGGGUGAUCUGCCCUGCACUUUGGGAUAAGCCUGGGAAACUGGGUCUAAUACCGAAUAGGACUCCGGACUGCAUGGUCUGGGGUGGAAAGCUUUUGCGGUGUGGGAUGGGCCCGCGGCCUAUCAGCUUGUUGGUGGGGUGAUGGCCUACCAAGGCGACGACGGGUAGCCGGCCUGAGAGGGUGACCGGCCACACUGGGACUGAGAUACGGCCCAGACUCCUACGGGAGGCAGCAGUGGGGAAUAUUGCACAAUGGGCGCAAGCCUGAUGCAGCGACGCCGCGUGAGGGAUGACGGCCUUUCGGGUUGUAAACCUCUUUCAGCACAGACGAAGCGCGAGUGACGGUAUGUGCAGAAGAAGGACCGGCCAACUACGUGCCAGCAGCCGCGGUAAUACGUAGGGUCCGAGCGUUGUCCGGAAUUACUGGGCGUAAAGAGCUCGUAGGUGGUUUGUCGCGUUGUUCGUGAAAACUCACAGCUUAACUGUGGGCGUGCGGGCGAUACGGGCAGACUGGAGUACUGCAGGGGAGACUGGAAUUCCUGGUGUAGCGGUGGAAUGCGCAGAUAUCAGGAGGAACACCGGUGGCGAAGGCGGGUCUCUGGGCAGUAACUGACGCUGAGGAGCGAAAGCGUGGGGAGCGAACAGGAUUAGAUACCCUGGUAGUCCACGCCGUAAACGGUGGGUACUAGGUGUGGGUUUCCUUCCUUGGGAUCCGUGCCGUAGCUAACGCAUUAAGUACCCCGCCUGGGGAGUACGGCCGCAAGGCUAAAACUCAAAGGAAUUGACGGGGGCCCGCACAAGCGGCGGAGCAUGUGGAUUAAUUCGAUGCAACGCGAAGAACCUUACCUGGGUUUGACAUGCACAGGACGCCGGCAGAGAUGUCGGUUCCCUUGUGGCCUGUGUGCAGGUGGUGCAUGGCUGUCGUCAGCUCGUGUCGUGAGAUGUUGGGUUAAGUCCCGCAACGAGCGCAACCCUUGUCUCAUGUUGCCAGCACGUUAUGGUGGGGACUCGUGAGAGACUGCCGGGGUCAACUCGGAGGAAGGUGGGGAUGACGUCAAGUCAUCAUGCCCCUUAUGUCCAGGGCUUCACACAUGCUACAAUGGCCGGUACAAAGGGCUGCGAUGCCGUGAGGUGGAGCGAAUCCUUUCAAAGCCGGUCUCAGUUCGGAUCGGGGUCUGCAACUCGACCCCGUGAAGUCGGAGUCGCUAGUAAUCGCAGAUCAGCAACGCUGCGGUGAAUACGUUCCCGGGCCUUGUACACACCGCCCGUCACGUCAUGAAAGUCGGUAACACCCGAAGCCGG